rnacentral:rRNA from 1 species
AAUAGAUACCCUGGUAGUCCAUGCCGUAAACGUUGGGCACUAGGUGUGGGGCUCAUUCCACGAGUUCCGCGCCGCAGCAAACGCAUUAAGUGCCCCGCCUGGGGAGUACGGCCGCAAGGCUAAAACUCAAAGGAAUUGACGGGGGCCCGCACAAGCGGCGGAGCAUGCGGAUUAAUUCGAUGCAACGCGAAGAACCUUACCAAGGCUUGACAUGCACGGGAAGCCACCAGAGAUGGUGGUCUCUUUGGACACUCGUGCACAGGUGGUGCAUGGUUGUCGUCAGCUCGUGUCGUGAGAUGUUGGGUUAAGUCCCGCAACGAGCGCAACCCUCGUCCCAUGUUGCCAGCGGGUUAUGCCGGGGACUCAUGGGAGACUGCCGGGGUCAACUCGGAGGAAGGUGGGGAUGACGUCAAAUCAUCAUGCCCCUUAUGUCUUGGGCUUCACGCAUGCUACAAUGGCCGGUACAAAGGGCUGCGAUACCGUAAGGUGGAGCGAAUCCCAAAAAGCCGGUCUCAGUUCGGAUUGGGGUC